AUACAAGAUUUUAUAUCCAAUGUUGCUAGGCUCGCCCCAGGCGGGCCCUUAAAGAUCCCAAACUGAAACUUUAGCUACACUUUCGUAUAACAGCUGGUUUUUACGUCAUCUUGACACAACUUAUAGUCAUCUGAGAGGAGGGAGCCUUAUCCAAGACAAUGCCUCCAUAAGAUGAUGCUGCAGGUUCCUGCCCUGUUUGAGUUCCUGUCCUGAGUUUCUUCGGUGAUGGAAAGUGCUGUGAAAGCAUAAGCCAAAUAAACUCUUUCUUCCCCAA